rnacentral:lncRNA from 1 species
GAAGCCAGCACCAUCAAGGCCAGGCUCGGAUGGACACCAUAAUCGAAGUGGACCUCCUGGGGUUAAUCAAGUGAGGAAUAAUGAAUAUGGAAGUUCUGAAAAUAAUAGUAUUUCAGAUCAUCGGGGAGAAGAUGAGAUUCAUGAUCGAGAGGUCAUGCCUCAACAAGGGAACUCAGGGGAGACUCAAAAUAAAUCAAAACUUGGGCAUGGAGAUGAAGUUCAUGAAAGGGAUGCAGUUGAACCAAAGGAUAAAUAUCAUGUAAAAAAUGUGUCUAACAAGGAUGAUUCAGCUGGUCAGUUACCUCAAGAUUCUACUAAAAAGCUGGACAAGGAGAAGAUUAAAGCUGCCUUGUUCGAGAGAAGGAAAGUUCGGGGAGAUAUAAUUCGUAAAAUAGAUCCCUUGGACGAGCUUGAGAGGGAACUGGAAGAUGUGGAAGUCCCAGGCGACAGCAAUAAGACUAAACGCGAAAGAAAGCAAAGUUGGCCCAAGCCUUCAAGGCCAGAGCUUGAGAACACUCAGAGCACCAAAUACAGCAAUGAGGCUGGAGACUCAGAUUUCCCAGCAAUGACGCGUCAAUCCUCACAUGAAGAUGAUUUUGAUACUGUUGAAGAGGGGGAAGUUGAACCAUCUGAUGAGGUUGACCGGGAAUAUCGGUCACCUAGGUCAAUCCGCAAGAGGAAGCCUAGUAGCCCCCUGGAUAGGAAUGGGUUGGGGAGGCAUGGGUAUUCAGAAAGAGACCACAAACGGCAUGUGCAGGAGAACCAUGUAUGAAAAGAAUCGACUAAUUGCUUUUGCAUAGCUAUUGCUGGUCAUGGUUACUGACGGCAGAAAACAGAGAGAAUUGGAUAAGGAGCUACUUUGACAAGAUCAAGGGCUCUUGAUAUUAAGGUUGAUUGUUUGGAUCAUUCUCUGCAUAUGAUUUACCUGCUUGAACAGAAGUUCCAGGUUAAAUGUUGAGGAACCAAUUAAGGUGGUUAUAUAAUUUAUCAUUGGCCUCGAGUUGGCACAGAUAAAGAGAGAAGAUGCAAGAUUCGAUUUCUGCCAUUUAAGGUGAUGACUAAUAUGUAUUCAACUUAUAAUGGUAACGAGCAAAAAAGAGUAAGGGAGAAAAUUUGUUUGAGUUUUGGUGGAGUGUGACAUUCUGCUCCCUUCUUCAUGUUGACAUUUUCCUGUAGAACAUCCAUAAAUUUUCAUUAGUAUUGGUGCUGUAUUUCCUAUCAUCCCUGAUAACGUAUGCGAUGAGUCUCUUAAAAACACAUAUCAGAAAGCCCACCCUUUUUAUUAGUAAUUGUAAAAAAACGACAACCUUCAUGUGUUAGAUUGAUAUACUUUAAUGAUUUAUUUGUAUGUUACUCCCUUCAUUCCACCAUAAGUGACAUAAAAUUUUUGGGUAGCAAAUUAAGAAAAAAGUGUAAAUUGGUUAAAAGUGGUAGAAGUUAUACUCAUCCGUCCCACUCUAAUAGUCAUGUUUUCCUUUUCGGGACGUUCCACCCAAUAGUCCAGUUUCUAUUUUUGGUAAUGAUUUUACACUACAAACAAUGUGGUUAGAUUUUAUCAUUUAUGAAAAUAAGUCAUUUAUAGUGGGACAGUUCAAAAUGUAAUGCAUGCCAUUUUUAAUGGGGACGGAGGAAAUAUUACUUAUAUUGGCCAGCUAGCCCACCCUUGGGUGUUAGUCAACUUGAUACUCCGUCUCAUUGUCGUUGGUUUUUUUUUUUUUUGGAGUGUCUCAUUAAUAUUGGUCUGUUCCUAUUUUUGGUAAUGAUUUUACACUAUAAACAAUGUGAUCCUACACAACUUGUACAUAUUUAAUACUACAAUCUUAUUCUUCUAAAUACUCGUGCCCAAAAUAAAUCGGCCAAUAGUAAUGAAACGGGGGAAGUACUUCUUUAGUACGUUGUUCGUGCACCAAAAAAAAUACUCCCUAUUUAGUAAUAGUAUGCAAUUUAAUACUAGUUGAAUAUGUUGUGAUAAAAAUAAAUGUCACAUUUUUAUUAUAAUUUUAAACAGUUUAAUAUAGUUGGGUGGUGGAUCCAAAAUGAUACUAUAGUCUAUAGAUAAAUAAGAAGUAAAAUUGAGGAUUAUAAUUAAACUAGUACGCACUUCCAUCGAUGCAUGACCACGAUAUAUUUUAUUAUUUUAAAAUUUUAAAUUGUAUAAAAAUGUCGUUAAAUUAAUUGGUAAGUGGUAACAGAAAAAAAUUAUGUUAAUAUAAAUAUUAGUAUUUGAUUUAAAACUGUAUAAUAACAAUAUUAUUAACUUAAUGAGUAUCACAUUAAAUUUGAUGAGCAUUGUUUAAUAAUAAUAAAAUAUGUAUAAUAAUAAUAAAAAAAUUAUAAAUUAUAAGGCAAAUAAUUUAAGUCAAUCUUAUUUUGAACAAAUAACACAAAACAUCAAUAUAACAAAAUAAUAGCCGUCAUUUAAUAUAACAAUUCUGGGAUCUUAAAAGUCCAAACUAUAUUAUUAUUAAAAGUUCAUAUUUAAAUAACCCAAAACUAAUUAAAAAUCAUAAAAAUACGAAUAAUAUAAAAAGGAAAAUAUGACAAUGAUUAUGUUUAUAUAAAAAGAAAAAUAUGACAACGAUUAAAACUAACACUUUUAAUGCACGUAAAUGACAUUUUUAAUGCAUACAAAUGAUACUUUUGAAUGAAACGAUAAAUGAUACUUCGCAAAUGACAUUUUUAAUAACAGAAAAAUGAUACUUUUAAUGAUCGCAAAUGACACUUUUAAUGUAUGCAAAUGAUACUUCAAAAAUGAUAUUUUUAAUAAAAUCAAAUGAUAUUUUGUGUAAAAUUAAAUGAUAUAUUAACAAUGACAUUUUUAAUGCACGCAAAUGGCACUUUUACUUACAGUAAAUGAUAAUAUUGAUUAUUUUUUAAAUUAAUUAAAUUAUAUACUAUUUUUUAUGUAAAUGAUACAACUAUUUACUUUAAUAAAUAUACUUUUAUAUAUGUAAAUUGCAUUUUCAAUAUAUAUAAAAGCUUGAAUCGAGGUCGAACCGAGCUCAAUCACCCAAAUAUUUAAACGAGCCAAGCUCGAGCUUGUUAGUAUUCGACUCGUUUACAGCCCUAAUUACUGGACCCACCAUUCAACCAAAUUAGUUAAUUCAAAAUACAAUAAAAAUGGAGCCCUUAUUCCACCCACUCAACCCAUCUAUACAUCUAUAUCUAUAUAGAAUAUAAAAGAGGAGUUUUUUACCAUCAGAUUUUAUCUCUACUUUCAAUUUUACCACCAAAAUUUAUCUCUCUUCCUUUCGUGCAUUCGUCCGUCCACAAUAAGUAUUGUCUUUCAUUAUAUAAACAUAUUCCUUUUCAUAUUAUUCGUAUUUUUCUUGAUUUUUAAUUAGUUUUGAGCUAUUAAAUAAUGAAGUUUUUAAAUAAUAAUAAUACAGUUUGGACUUUUAAAGCCCAUAAUUAUUAUAUUAAACGAUGACUGUUAAUUUUAUUAUAUUAAUUGUUUAAUGUUAUUUGCUCAAAAUGAGAUUGACUUAAAUUAUUUACUUUACAAUCUAUAAAUUUAAUUAUUAUUAUACACUGCUCAUUAAAUUUAAUAUUAUACUUAUUAAAAUGAUAAUAUUGUUAUAUACACUAUUUUAAAUUACAUACUAAUAUUUAAAUUUACAUAUUUUUUUGUUACCGAUUAAUCUAACUCGUAAAUAAUGACACUUUGACAUUUUUACAUAAUUUAAAAAUUUUAAAAUAAAUAAAUAUAUUGUGGCUCGUGCAUCACGCGUAGGGUGGAUUAAUGAUAAAUGAAAAAGAUAUUUGUGUUUAUAUAUUUCCUAUCUAGGGAUGUCAAUCUAGUCUAAAAUCCGUGGGCUGACCCAAUUAGACCGUCAAUUCGAGAGGGUUAGGGCUAAAAAAUUUCAACACGAUAAAAUUACAAUUCGAAUAACCCGUUAUUAACUGAAUAGCCCGACACCUAGUAGAGUUGGCCAAAAAAUAACCAGAAACCCUAUAGGACUGACCCAAAGAUAAUGUAUUCGCUUGAUUAUAUGAAAAUUUUCUCGUUAUUUGAUUUUCAAUUUCAUUACUUUACCUAUGAAAAUUAAUAUAAUAAAAUAUUUUUCCAAAAGUUUGUAAUGUAUUUUGAUUCUACAUUAGAUAAUUAUACUCAUUAUUUCAGUUUUCUAUAUUUUUAAUUUAAUACUUAAUAUAAAAUAUUUAGAUAUGAAAAUUAAAAAAUGAUAAUUAAUUAACAAAAAUGUUGAAUAUUUAUAUCUCUAAGAGUUGCAAAUUAGUUAUUAUCUAAGUUGAUGUUAAAUUGUUACUUAUUUAUGUGUGUGAUUGUUUUAUUACAAAUAUAAUAUUGCCAAUAGAAUUAAGUUGUACUCCAAUAGGCUCAUUUUCCUUUUUGGGAUGUCCCACUCCAAUAGCCUCAUUUUCCUUUUUGGGUAAAAGAGUUGUACUUAAUUGGCGUGGACCACACCACUUUACUACCAUUUUCCUACUAAAAAGUAAGUUUUCUUAAUAUCUGUGCCCAAAAGAAAUGAGCCUAUUGGAGUGGGACGGAUGGAGUAUUAGUUAUUUUAAAAAAAAUAAUUUUUUGAGCCCGACUAGACCGAUGGACUAGCCUGAAACUCGAACGUUUAUGAUUAGUGUUGAAAAUUUUUAAUCCGAAUUUUCAACCCGAUUAACCCGCAUUUGAAUAACUCGAUAAUUCGAUAGGGUUAGUCUGAAACUUAAGGGGUUAGCCUGAUUGACAUCGCUAUUUCUACCUCUCUCAAUAUAUUUUCUAACUAUUUAUAUUGUUUUUAUCUGCACACAUUAUUUCCCACCAAAAAUUUUCAGUUGUGUUUACUUUUUAUCCCUCUAAAUAGAUGGAUAAUAUAAUGAGGUAUAAAUUUAUCAUUUAAAAUAUAAAUUACAAUUUUUUUUAUUUGAUUUGAUGAUAAUAUAUCUUCCAGUGUUCAUAAGGUGGUAUAAAAUUAUACCAUCCCCCUUUAGUUAUAGAAUUAUCUUUUUUCCAAAGGAUAAGGUGUUGCCCGGAAAUUUAUACCAUCUACCUAAAUUUUAUAUUACGUCAAACCAAACAAGGUAUAAAACGGUAAAUAGAGUUUUUCUCUUUCUUAUACAUCAAAGCAAACACAUCCUAAGUCUAAUGAUAAAUCACAUACUCCCUCCGUCAAACAAAUAGUUCAUUUUUGCCAUUUUAGGAUGUCCACAAAAAAUAGUUCAUUUUCAUUUUUAGAAACUAUGUACUCUUUCCGUCCCGAUUCAAUAGGUCACAAGCCUUGGAUACGAAUGUUAAGAAACGAAUAAUUUAUAAUAAAAUAGGAGAGAAAGUAACUUUCAUUCAGGAUAUAUGUGUUCAAAAAGUAGGAGAGAGAAAUAAAGAAAAGAUAAUUAUGUGUGGCAUUUGGUGUAAAUAAUGGGUUGUAUGAGGAUAUUUGUUAUGUGUUGACUUUUCAUUUUUGGAAAAAGACCUAUUCAAUUGAGACGUUCAAAUAAGCAAAUAUGGCCUAUUGAAUUGAGACGGAAGGAUAUAUGGCCCUAUUCUCCAUUCACAAUUAAUGGUAAAUGUCACUUUCUGUCCCAUCGUUUCAACGAAUUCUCAAAAAUGUCCUACCCUAACGAUAAUAUCAAAAUGGCACCCAACCUAUCACAAAAAUAUCAUCCGUGUCCUGCAAAUUUUUUUCGGGAAUCGAAAACUUACGUGGAUUGUCGGACUUACACCAUGGCAAAUCCACGUGGACUCAUUUAAUCUAGGUGGAAUUAAUUUUUUUGCAGCCAUUUAAAAAGCCCUAAACGACAGUGUUUCAGCCGUUCUUCUUCUCCUCUGCGUAAGAAAAAUUCAGACGCAAGAUUCUUCAAAGUUUGUUCCUGAAAAAAACGCGGUUGUCUUCAUCUUCUUGAAAUCGCGGCGGCUUUCUUCGUCUUCUUCAAAUCGCGCAUGAAAAGUUGGCGGCUGCUGAAGAAGCCCUAACACCUGCGGUGGCCUGAAGAAGCCCUAGAGGCGUCUGAAAAUUUUCAGUAGGUAUCGCCAUCCCCAAUCGCGGUGUUCUUUAAUCUACUUCUUCAGCUUCUUUCUGCAUAUUUGUUCCUAAAUUCCAUUCGAAAAUUUCCAGCAUGAACUCGAUCCUAAUUUGAAUAAUUUUUCAAAAAUUCCCAAAUUUCUUGUAUCUGCUGCUAUGUCUAAUUUGAUGGAAUCAGUUUUCGAAUUAGUUUGUAAUGAUGGAAAUUCCAUGGCUGCCUUUAAAUUUUCGAAAAUUCCCAAAUUUCUACAUAUUGCACAGAAUACAUCUACAUUCUGAAAUGGAUUCUCUAAUACUCCUCAACAUAUUUUUUUGCAGAUGUAAUAUAAUGGAUAAACUUGUGGUUAGGCUUAGAUUGUGGCAUGGAGGGUCUUUUCUCAAUGAUAGAGAGUAUGAAUUCAAAGAAGCAUUUGAUAUUCCCGAGUAUGACAUAUUUGAAUGGGAGGAUGCUUUUCUUAAUGAGUUGGUGGUUGUUGAUUUUGGGUAUGAUGACGUAGGUAGAUAUGCAUUUAGAGAUAAAAUCAGUGGCCAGUUUGUGUUUGUGGAUCCGUAUGAUGACAAGGCUGAUUUUGUGUCUCUUGCAUUAACAUUUGUGGAUGAUGAAACAAAGAUCUUGGAAAUAUUUUGUGACUGUAAGAAAGAAGAAAAUGAGGAUGGGGGACCAACUGUUGAGAAAAAGGGUAAAGAAAGGUGGUAGAAGAGGGGCGGCCAACUGUCGACGAAAAGGGUAAAGAAAAGGUGGUAGAAGUUGAUGUAGGUGAGUGGGGACCAACUGUGGAGGAGGAGGUACCAACUGAUUCAGAUCCUGACUUUGAUGAGAGGGCCUUUGGAGAUGAUUAUAGUUGUGAUGAUGGGCUGGAAGACAUAGACUUUUCGGACGAUGAUGGUGAAUUUCUCGAAGCAAGAAAGAAUGGCAUAACACGAAAAAAUGACAAAGGCAAGAGUGUUGUGCAGUCUUGUGAAAUUGAGAGUGUGAAGGCAACAUUGCAAGCAAAAGAUGUCAAAGAUGAGGAUGAGCUGGACUCAGACGCUUCUUGUGAAAGCACUGAUGUUGAAGGCAAGAGAAAGAACAAGUUUAAGUUGUACUCGAAGAAUAUUCAUUUCAAGGACCUGAAGAUAGAACUUGGAAUGAGAUUUAAAGAUCCUAAGGAAUGUCAAAAUGUAGUUAAGUAGUGGGCUGUUGCAAAUAGAUACAACAUUAGGUGGACAAAGAGUGCCCAUGGGAAAGUCCAAGCCGUUUGUGUAGAUGGAUGUGAGUGGCGGUUGUAUGCUUCAAAGAUCCAUGGAGAGCCGACAUGCAUAAUCAAGACUCUAACUGGUGAGCACACAUGUGUACGGGCUGCUUCCAAUCGACAAGUAAGUUCGAAGUUCGUGGCAAACCAUUAUAUGGAGAAGAUCAGGAGCAAUGUCAACAUCACAAUCAAAGACAUGAUAAACAAGUUGCGCGUGACUUUCGGAGUCACUGUUAGGCCAGUGACGUGCUAUAGAGGGAGAAAGAUGGCAUUGGAAUCCAUAAGAGGUACAUUUGAUCAGCAUUAUGCGAAGCUAAGAUCAUAUGUUUCAGAGUUGAUGAUGUUAGAUAAGGAGGGGCGUUUUGAGUUGAAGACUUAUCUUGAUAAGCACGAUCGACCAGUGUUUGAGAUAUUCUAUGUAGGUUUUUCAGCCCUACGUAAAGGGUUUCUUGUUGGCUGCCGAAAGUAUAUUGGGUUUGAUGCAUGCUUCUUGAAGAUGGUGCUAGGAGGAGCAUUGUUAGCCGCUGUUUCUAAAGGUUGCAAUAAUCAGAUGUACCCCGUUGUGUGGGCCGUUGUAGAGAAAGAAAAUGAGGAAAGUUGGACGUGGUUUUUUGAGCAUCUCUUUGAAGAAUUACACAUUGGUGACGGCUUAGGAUGGACCUUUAUGAGCGAUAAGCAAAAUGUAUGCCUGCCUCUUUUAGAUCAUCAUUAAUGCAUGUUAGUGGGAUUAAUCUUUACUCAAGUCUAAUGUGGAUAGUGCUAAAACAAUUUGAUUUGAGUUCAUUUUCUCAAAUUGAUUAGGUUAAACAAAAGCUGCUUUCUUACUCAAUUUGAUUAGCCUUUAACUGCCUUGUUGUGUUUUAUGCAGUAGCUUUUUUGUUGAUUUAUGCAGUAGCCUUUAAGUGCAUUUUUCGUGAUUUAUGCAGUAGCAUUUUGUUGAUUUAUGAAGUAGCCUUUAAGUGCAUUUUUGUGAUUUAUGCAGUAGCUUUUUGUUGAUUUAUGCAGUGCAUUUCUCAUAAAAUUCGUUUAUGUAUAGGGGUUGAUAAAUGGCAUUCAGAAACUUGCACCACAUAGUGAGCGCAGAUAUUGUGCAAGACACAUAUAUGCCAACUGGAAGAAGAAUUUUAGUGGCCCGAAGUACAAGGCGUUGUUUUGGAAUAUUGUGAAGGUAACAUGCAAGGUAGACUACGAGUGGGCAUUGAACGAGUUGAAGAAAAACAGCACAGAGACUGCCAAUGACUUUGAAGCACGAGGUCCAGCUGCAUUUUGCAAGGCUUUGGUAAAUUCCUUCACAAAAACUGACCUUGUGGACAAUAAUGUAAGUGAGACCUUUAACUCUUACAUUCUAAAGGCAAGAGACCUUACUUAUUGAUAUGUUAGAGGAUAUUCGUACUAUGAUCAUGACAAGGCUAUAUGAGCUCUCAACUAGCAUGUCUAAAAGUCAUCAUUCCUCUGAUCCACCAUGUCCCAAUAUUAGGAAAAAAUUGAAUAAGCUUCAAGGUUUAGUGAGAUUUUGUGAUGUGAGGCCGGCUGUUGGGAAUAAAUUCGAGGUGCAUAUGAAUGAUGACACACACGUUGUAUCUUUGAUUGAUUGUGAUUGCACAUGUAGAGCAUGGGAGUUGACAGGUAUUCCGUGUUGUCACGCUUUAAGUUGCAUAUUUCACAACAGAGAUGAUCCUGUGCCUUUCAUUGAUCGGUUUUACUAUAAAACCAACGUGGAAUGUACAACUUUGGUUUGAACCUCUCGGGGAUAUAAGUCGUGGCCGUUGUGACGAAUCGCCUAUCUUACCUCCUAAAUAUUCAAGAUCAACACGAAGGCCAAAGAAGCGUGGAUUAGAGGGCUUGAUGACCAACAAAAUACUAAAGACAAAAUGUCGAUCGUGGUUUAGCAUGUCUUACAAGAACUGGGUGGAUUUGAUCACAAUAAGAGAACGUGUAAAGAGCCCAAAAUGCCACAGGUUAGUCUUUUAAGUUAAGGGAUGUCAUAUUCUAUAGUUGGUGAAAAUUGAAUAUAAUGUCACAAUAAUAUAUGAUUUUUGUUUAAGAAAAUGAGAGCUCAACCGAAGGCAGUAUGCCACAAGCCGAGGGCAGCCGACCCACAAGCCUAGAGCGCCGAGGGCACCGAAGGGCAGCGAGGGCAGCCGACCCACAAGCCUAAAGCACCAAGGGCAUUAAAGGGCAGCGAACCACAAGCUGAGGGCACCGAGGGCAGCCGAGCUCAUCCGAGGGUAGCCGAAGGCAGCGGGCCACGAGGUAGGCAGCCGAGAGAGCCUCCAAGUUCAAUGUUUCAGCCUCCAAAGCCUAACAAUCUAGCCAAGUUUGUCAAGCAGAGAGAGAUUUGCACAGUAUGUAUCUAAGUUCAAUUUGUUGCAAUUUUGUCAAAUUAAGUUACAAAUGCUAUACUUAAUCGAACAUCCUUCAGGCACGACAAGGAUAUGGCGCAUUAGUAUCUCCCGAGACUGGAAAUAUUUAUCUUCGGGUAUGUAUUACUUUAAGAUUUUUUAAGCUAUGUGAAAUAUGCAUAUCUUAAUGUAUUAUUUCAGGAACCUGCGACACGGCGUGUACAAUUUGUCAGUGGUUACAAUGCUACUCAACGGGCUGCUCGACCUCCAAAAAAGAAGAAGAAUACAGUGGAUAGCACUCCGGGAUCGCAAAGAAGCCAAGUGGAUGAUCCAACCCCUCAUUAGUUGCAUCUUUUGGGUUUUUUUUGGUUAGCCAAGUUUUAGGCUUUUUGAUGAAACUUAUCAAUUGGAUGAAACUUGUCAUUUUGAUGCUUAGCCAAGUUUAGGCUUUUUAGACUAAGGGGAGGUGUAUUAGUUCAAGACUUAUGUAGAUUUUAAAAGUCUAUAGAAUUCUCACGGAUUCUUCAUGAUUUUGAAUGAAUUCUUGGUCGGAUUUUUAAUGAAUUAGCAAGAAUUUAUCGUGAUUUUCUCAGAGUUGAAAUCCACAAAGCCAGCGGGUGUGGAGACCUCGUGAGCGCUUGAGGCCCAGCGCUCGUUGAAGCCCAGCGACCGCUGGAUACUUGAAAUUUCAAUACCCAGCGUUGGACACCCAGCGCUCGCUGAGUCCCAGCGACUGCUAGGGUCUAGCGGCCAUCGUUGUAGCUCCUCCAUCAGCGGCUGCUAGGUGCCAGCCGGCGCUGGCUUCUUCAGCCGCGUCCACUAGUACCCAGCGAGCGCUGGAAACUCUCAAGAUUUGAAUUCUCGUGGUCCGAGCUCGAAUUUGUUCAUGUGUAUUUUUUGAAUGAAAUCCAUGGAAAUCAGUCCAAUGUUAAAAUCCGUAGAUUUUUAAAUACACCCAGAUUUUCAUAGACUUUUAAAAGUCUUAAACGAAUACACUCAGAUUUAAAAAGUCUGCAGAAAUCUAUUAAAAUCUUGAACUAAUACACCCCCCUAAGUUUAGAAGUUUGAGCAAAAUUGUCAUUUUGAGUACUAUGUUAUCCAGUUUGAUAUUUCAUGAAUGAGAAAUUUGUAUCACAUUCACUAAUUAUUCUUGGAGUACAGAAUUUUGUUACUUUGUGUUUCUGCACCACCAUUAGUCUUCUUCUUUUUAUAUCACAUUCACUAAUUAUUCCCUAAUUAUUCUUGGAGUGCAGAAUUUUGUAUCGAAUAAUUACGAUAUAAUUAAAAUGUAACAGCUUCUAGCAUUUCAUUUACAUUAACUCAGACAUGAAAGUGAUGCAGCAACUCAAUGAAGCAUACAUUAUGAAGUUUUUGUGAUGAAAGUCUAAAUUUCAUUAAACAUAACAUUUACAUAGGAAGACGACGUCGGGUGUCCGAUACAAACUCAACUUGACCUACGGAAAUCCAAAGCAUCAAAAACACAUAUGUUACAAUCAAUACAAAACACAAAGUAUGAAGUCUACACUUCGUCUCCUUCAAAGACUUCUUCAAUGACCUAUUUUCAACACGAUACUUAUGCAUCUUCAACUCUAGGUCGUCCUUCAAUUCUUGAAGUUUCUCGGUUGCAACCUUUUGCUCCUUCUCAACCAAUACGUUGCUUUUCCAUAUGCAAUGUAGUAGAGCCGAUUUCGCUCUUCCAUCGAACGGCUCAUCGUACCACACAAAAUACUUGCAAUCACCCGGCUAAAUUAACAAAUACUUUGACAAUUACAUAGAAUUGGACAACAAAAAAUUUGACUUCAAAGAAAAAAAUGGAACUUUAACGAAAUUGAAGAAGAAGAAAAAAAAAACUACCAAAUUUCCAAAUUGACAUCUCUAAAACCUCCUACCUGGAUUAGUUGUACUAAAUGAUCGAAUGAGAUUACAUUCUCCAUGAAUGCAGUACUUUCUCUCAAAUGAAUUCACGGACUCCUCACUGUAAGAGUUCUCCAUUUUUUGAUCUAGGUUGAGAGAUUUUUAUCAAGAAAUUGAAGAUUGAAUACGAUAUAAGAGAGAGGGGAAGAAGAGCGCCGCGUCUGAAACUAGGGCAAAUGAUGAAAUUUGGAGAAGAGUGGUGCGUCUGAAUUUUUCUUACGCAGAGGAGAAGAAAAAUGGCUGAAACAGUGCCGUUUAGGGCUUUUUAAAUGGCUGCAAAAAAAAAAAAAUUCCACUUAGAUUACAUGAGUCCACGUGGAUAUGACAUGGUGUAAGUCCGGUGAUUCACGUAAGUUUCCGAUUCCCGAAUUUUUUUUGCAGGACACAGAUGAUAUUUUUGUGAUAGGUUAGUGAUCACUAAUUUCUUAGCAACAAAAACUGCAACUAACAGGCAAUUGUAGCGAAUAAUAAGUAACCGAGUAUCGUAUCCACAGGGACUAUUAUAACGAAUCACUCUAAGUAAUCCUAACUAAAUUCUAGUAAUAUUCAGGCAAACGAAAGUAGGAAGGUUUAAUUAACACUAAACUCAAAAAGUAGCAAAUAAAAGCACGUAGAAGAAUCAAAUAUAAAAGACAACUGAUCCUAGGGUAGUAAAUUCAUUAACUAAAUCUAUGCAAUAAAUCUAUUAAUCCUAUGUACCAAUUUAAUCCAGCUAUGAUGAGAGAUCACUUAAUUAAUCAAUUACUCUCGCUAGAGCAGCAACGAUCGUAGAUUAGUAAAUUAUCUAUCUCCGUUAGGUCUCAAGAAAAUCUACUAACUCCCAAAAGCUCUUAAGAAUAGCUCCCUAUGAUCCACCUAUCUCCGCUAGGUCUCAAGGUUAAAAUCAUAUCAUACAUUCCUGAAUCCGCGAAACAGUUAUCUCCGCUAGGUCUCAAACCGAAUAGCUACACAUGCAAACUAUUGAUCAGAUAAUUCACAAGAAAUCAAGCACCAGGAAUUAUGAAUCAUAAACUGGAAGGCACAAAGGUAUUAACAAAAAAAUCACAUAAAUUCAAUAAACUAUUUACAAACCCUAGAAUCAGCUAAAAGAGACUAGCCAGACAUAAUAAAAGAAAGCAUAAACAUAAUUAAAAAGAAAGCAAUUGUAAAAACUAAAUUAAAUAAAAACUGAAUGAAAACAAUUGUAGCGGCUUGAAUCUUCAAUCUUGAUCCAAGCCUUGAAAACUAGAAAGCAAUGAAAUUCUAAAGCUAUAAAACUGAAAUAUGAAUGCUAGGGUUUUCGGGUUGGUCCCCUCAAUAGGUCAAAAGAGGACCUAUUUAUAGAUUUCAGAUUUCCUUCGGAUCACCAUGAAAGUUGCCAUGCAAAGUAGAAUUCUAAAGGUAAUAGAAUCGUGUGAAAUAAGGCAACUCUCCAGCUGGAUGCGCGCUCCGGAAAAUACUCCUACUCCCGCCGAAUUCGCAACUCUCGCCAGAGGAACGGAUGUCACCAGGGUAACGGGUCACGCCAGAGGAAUGGAUGAUUUCUCUGACCUCGCCAGAGAAAUGAGUCGCCAGCGGAAUGGGUUGCCAGCGGAAUGGUGAUUUCUCUGGCUUCUCGAUUCCGCUGUAAUGGACAUUGCGAUUCCGCUGUAAUGGCUUCUCUCCCCUCUGCUCUGACUUAUUUCUUUGCUCUAACUCUCACUUGGCUGCUUUGAUUAUUGACUCCUCUGGUGAUGACUUCGUUACACUGGCUUCUUGAUUUCGCUGAUUCCAGAUAAAUGGUGAUUUCUCUGGCGAUUGAUUCCGCUGCACUGGAGACUUGAGGUCUUUGAUUUCUCUGACUCCAGAGGAAUGAUGAUUUCUCUGCUUUGGAGACUCCGGUUCCUCUGCUCUGGAGACCAGAACACCUAGAAAACGCCAAAUUCAUCCAAAAUUCUCCAAAACUGCAUUCUUCUAUCUCGAAAGCCUAAAUCUUCUGCAAAGCAUAAAAUACACCAUAAACGCACCAAUUUCCAGAAGAUUAUCUUAAAACAUGCACAUACAAACCCUUAAAAAUAGAGUAAAUUAAACAUAAAUCAGUUAGGUAUCAUUUUGAUAUUAUCGUUAGGGUGGGAUAUUUUUGAGAAUUCGUUGAAACGAUGGAACAAAAAGUGACCUUUACCCUAUAAUUAAUUAUCGAUGACACUUUCUUCAAUUACAAUGCAAUAAUUAUUUUUAUUAAAACUUGUGUCGUCCACCUUUAGGUCAACGAUGUAAAGGAUUAUUUGGACGGAAGAAGUAUAACUUUAUAUUCACCAUAAUAAUAAUAAAAAAAAUAUUUAUCUCAAAUUUCUCAAAAUCUCUUAUCUUUUAAAUGUCAUUAUUUUAUUAAAAUUUAUAAGCCUAAAGAAAAGAAGCCUAUUAACUCUUGGUUAGAAGAGAAAAAAAGCCCAACACAAACAAAUAAGCCAACUAUUUAAAUAACCAAACCUAAUAUAUCAACCCAUUUAAAAUAAUUUUCUGUUUAUCUUUAUUCUUUUUUAUUUUUCUUUCCCUUUUCUAUCCUACAUCUCUCGAUUCUUCUUCUCUCUCCCUCUCUCACUCUUUCUCUUCUCCCUCAAAAAGAAAUCAGGAUAUCUCUCUGCCUCUCUCCUUCUUGCUCUCGCCGCCUCCCUGCCUCCCUCCGUUCGCCGUCGACCACACUCAUCUCUCUAUCACAAAUUUAUGAGACUGCAACUUCCAUAACCACAAGUGAUAUUUGGGCCGCCCUGAAAUGGCCCAAUCAGACUCAACCCGGUUAUCGAGCCGCGUUUGAAUAUGCACAAUUUUGUCUACUCAAAUUGUUCACCAAUAUUUUUCGGUCUACGACUUAUAUAAAACUACUUGGAAUUCGUCAAGCCCUUACCGUGCGUCGUCUACGCUACCGCACCGGAGGCCGCCGUUAAUCGGUGAGGUUUACUUGCUGUCGCGAUUUUGAAUUAUUUGCCCUAAUUUAUGAAUUUGAGAUUUUGAUUUUGGCUGUGAUUAUUGUUUGUUCGGAGUUAACUUUUCCUUAUUUUCUUACUUUUGCGUCUUUGGUUUGAAUCGAGCAUGUGCAAGUAGAAUUAAACUUUAAGUUUUCUAAAAGAUUGUAGUUUUUCGAACAUCGACAAGUACUUUCCAGCUUUUCUACAGGCAUGAGCAGGUCUUCUUCUAUGAAGUCCUUAAAAAUGGUCUCUUAUCCGAUGUACUUAGGUCUUUGAUAAACCCUAAAUUCGUUAUAUUUUUGUUCGUGUUCUUUCUUGUUUUUCUUUAAACGUAUUUCUUCUGGGUCCAAUUCUUGUUGCAAUAGAUUACUUUUUGGUUCACACCUCUCCUUUCUUUUGCCCGAGUUUCAACAUUCUUGUUACCCCCAUUGGGGUAAUGAUGCAAAGGCUAAAGAUGUAUGUGUUUUGAAGCAAGGUCUUUAAUUUUGUUCUCUUACCCAAAACCAGUCAUUGACUUUGAUGUGUUUAUCUUUCAUAUCCUGUUCGCUUUGGUAAUGCAUAAGUGGAAGAUUUGAUGAGGAUGGCCAUAAUUUAAUUUAAUUAGGUUUUCAAAAUAGCAAACGUAAUUUAUCCCCAAUAUGCUUCUGAUGGGGUUGUGCCUUGUACUGUUUUGGGUUUUUCUUUUGUAGUUAGAUUAACUUAUUUGCUCUCCUGUCAUACAGGAAAAGAAUCUUCUGUUGCUGCAUAUGCACAUUGUAUAGAAUACUGUCCAUUUCUGAGAUCUAGAUAUUGGUACGUGGAGAAAGUCCAAUUACUUAGUUAUGUCUAUGUUUUGUAACGAUCCAUUCAAUUUGGAAUAUUUAGUCCGAACACUGAUGAGAUGACCGAGAUAUGAAUGUUGGAAAGGAUAAGCAGUGGAAUUUUGUGUCUUAGGUUUCCCGUUUCUGUUUGUUCAUCAGUUCUAUGUUGUGGGUUAAUUGCUAGUUAGAUAUUUGUACAUUUUGCAUGUUGCCUAGGCUAUGGAAGUUUCUGGGAUGAAUUUCAGUCACUUUUUCUGUAAAUUUGCCUAUAGAGAGCGUGUGGACAAAGCAAUCUUUGCAUAUGCAAUCAGUGACAUGAUAUAUCAUUUGUAGCAAAGUCUAUAAAAUCAGUUAAUCUGGAAACUGUUUUUAGUUGUACAGAUCCUACAGAGCUAUUGGGUUAAUAAUAGUAAAUUAUCUCUUAAUAACUGCCUGAACAAUUGUGUCAAGUCAUUGUUAGAAAUUGUCCUUCACCAAUUUUCAGUUAAAUAAGAUCUGUAGGAGGGUGCUUGUUUGGGAACUUAAGUAUGCAUCUUUAGAAUCCAAGUUCCUGUAUUUUGUUCGUAUGGAAAUUUUGGAAACCAAUGAUCUCAAUUCUAAAUUCAUAUAUGAUUUAGCAUCUACACUGAAAUCUUCUCUAAUUUUUCCAACAAAUAUUAAUUCUUACUUACAUGAUUAUUCUCCCCACCAUAGUUAUUAAUAGCGCAGAUCGUGCUCGCGAUAGCGCACCGCGUCGUGUCUCGCACGCAGAUCGCUCUGCAUUGCGAUUAAGAGGUUAAUGCUGAAUAGCGAGCUCUAUUCGCGCUAUUUCCCGAUCGCGCAUCGAACUAAAUAGCGCGCUAUUGAACAAUUUUCUGCAUGGCUAGUAUUAUAUACUGCAUGGGUUUGGGGUUUUAAUAUUUAAUUAGGGUUUAAAGUUAAAGAUAACAUAUAAAUUAAGUUUGAUAUGACCGACCAACUCCAACUGCAUGACAGACUCUUCGCUUCUUCUUUUCUUUUAAAGUUAAUCGUUUCUGUUUCUUUCUUCCUCUAAUCCCAAGCGACAGACAGAUUCUUUGGUUCUUGAAGAACCGUUCUUCACUUCUUCUUCCUAAUCUCUUCAGGCUCUUCUCAUAUUCAUCAUUUCUUCUUUCUCUCCUUUUGUCAUAUUCAGUUUCUAUUUUAUGUCAAGUUCAACUAGUGAAAAAGAUAAGGAUGUAGGAUGGUUGCAUGGAACUAUGGUCGAGCCAAACAACACAAAAAUCUUACUUGGUUCGGAGGAUGAGGAUGAUGAUUAGAGGCUUUAAUAUAAUUAGAUAUAUUUUUUUUUUAAAUUAAGAUUUUUUGACUUCAUCUUUUUAUUAACUAGACUUAUGCAUGUUUUAUUAUGAUUAUGAUAUACUAUAUGUUUUAUAUAUUUCUGCGCGAUAUAUUCAAAUAGUGCGCGCGUCUCGUGAUGCUCGAUGCGCGAUAGCGCUAGGAUAGCUUUACGCGAUGCGCGAUUAAUAACUAUGCUCCCCACAGUUUUUCCAUCUACAUCAGAGUUCUCUCUCAAAUUCUUUAACAAAGACUAAUAUCUACUGUCAAAUAAAUUAUAUCAAGUCUAGAACACUCAGUUGUCCUAAAUCCCAGUGAAACACACCUGCUGCUUGAUUUUCUGUAUAAGCUUUGAUUUUCCGGUUGCAUCUCCUAUUUCUGCUCUAGCUCUCUGUAUGUAUUAGCAAUUCAGAAGCUAAGUCACUAUUCAGCCAUUUUUUUUCUCAGUUUUGGUUCAGUGAAGGCGCCGGCCGUUGAAUAUUCUAUAAAAAAAUUAUAAAAAGAAAGAAACUGGUGUUGAUCAUACUGCGAAUGUGUGUUUGAUUUUUUAUAGUGCCAGAUUCAUGAAAUAUUUUGGUGCCCUUAUAUUGUCUUUUGAUGAUCUUUGUUCUUGGGUUCUACACUGUAUCUAUUUGUAUUCUUUUUCUAACUUACACUGAUAUAUGCAUGUUUACUCCACUUUGAUUUUACUAUCAUGUUAGUUUCGAGUGGAAGUUGACGUAUGAGGACUCUCGGAUGAUUUGACCUGAUUAUGUUAGAUUAAGAGACCUCGUCCGUAUUCCUUCAAGACUUUUGGUGGGAGAAAGGAACUGCAUAUGGCUAGUCAGUUGGCUGGUGAGCCUUCCUCCUCUGCACCUGAUGGAAAUUUUAAGGCUUCUCAGGAGAAACCAGAAGAAGUUGGUGAGCAAUGGUAUUUUUCAAGGAAGGAACUUGAAGAGAAUUCCCCUUCUAGACGGGAUGGCAUUGAUUUGAAGAAAGAAACUUACCUGCGCAAAUCAUAUUGCACAUUCUUACAAGAUCUAGGCAUGCGGCUUAAAGUGUAAGUUGUCUCCGGAUGCUUUUGUAGUUUUCAUAUUUUAAUAACGGUGCCUGUAGAUUAUUUAUUUACGUGAUAGCUGUUGUUGCUCCAGUUAUGUGUUGGCUUCUCCUUUUGUUUGAAUUGUGAAGGGGGUAUAAGAAUGCAUGUCCUUGUUCCAUUGUCAGGUUAGUAAGUUGUGAAUAAUAAUGAGGUUCAAUUAAUGCUCACUGAUCUUGUUUUGUGAAAUAUUUCAUCUCAUUAUUUUUUGAGGAAGAAAUAUUUCAUCUCAUUAAUUGUAAAUGAGCCAAAUUGUUGUGAAUUUGUGUUUCUUAGUGAAUGAAUAGAUGACAAGGUUUAGGUUUCCUCGAAUUUGUCACUUUGGUCCUAUCAAGGAAUUUUAAGAUCAGGAAGUUUUUAGUUUGCGUGCAACGAACACAUUGAAAUAUUGUAAUAGUUCUCUGUACUGAUGUUAUCUAUCCUGCUAUAGUUAUUGUGUUAUUUGAAUGCAUUUUAGUUCUGCAAUCAAAUACUACACUACCUGUGCAAUUUGCUUUAAUGCACUGCUGGACCCUUCAUGAUGCAGGCCUCAGGUGACGAUUGCUACUGCAAUUAUAUUUUGUCAUCGUUUCUUUCUUCGUCAGUCCCACGCGAAAAAUGAUAGAAGGGUGAGUGAAUUUUAAUUUUCAACUUCCUCCGUCCACAGAGUAUACAACAAUUGCCUUACUUGACGUCCACGAAGAGUAUACUUCGUUUCCUUUUUUAGGACAUUACCCAACACUCUUCUUUUAUUUCAACCAUACAAAUACCCCUUAUUUACCAAAAACCCACCCCAUGGCCCACAGUCAAUCCUUAUAAUUCAACCCCAACCACUCAUUUCUACAUGGUGGGACCUUUUAUCCACUAAAAAUACUCAUUUCUACUCGUGCGGAACCAAUGUUGUGUACUCUUUGUGGAUGGAAGGAGUAUUAUUUUUUUAUAAUGAUGAUUUUUUUUUUCAAAAUACUUCUGUUGAUCACUAAUAUAUAGAUUGUGGAAGUGAAUGCUAUCUUGCUGAUCGAAUAUCUAAAUAUAACACUCUUUUUUCAGUAAAGAAUUAAUUAGAGUUCAGUGCAAUAAUAUAUAGUGGAUAGCGUGUUAUAUACCAUUCUUAUUGUAAGUUUGGAACUGGGGCCAUCUAUCAGCAAUAAAGAAGUGUAGUUCAUUUUCUUAUUUGUCGUGCUUCUUAAAUAUUUAACCUGAUAUAGCAACAUCUGGGAAUUACCAGAAAUCAUCAACUAUACAACUGUUAUUGUCAACUGUUUUUAAUGUUUGUUCUGCAUAUAAUCAUUUAUUACAAAUUUGUCAACCAAUGCCAAGGCCUUAAUCAAAUGCUAAAACAUAUUCAGAGGAAUAGUUACUGAUCUGUUAGGUAGUAUUUUUUUCUAAGUUGGUUGUAUUUCUUUACAGUUAAUGUUCAUAUGACAACAAUUGUUUAUUCUAUACUUGGAACUUACCACAUAUAAUAAUAGGCUUAAUCACUGAGUUUGUCUCUAGUCUGUUCUGUAUGUGUUCGGUUGUAGUGUUUGUCGACCCAGUUAUGAUAACUAAGAAUAAUAAAUAGAUAAUACAAAGACACACACACAAAAUAAAUAAAACAAACAUGCGGGACCCGGUUUGAUAAUAUUGAAUUUUUGUGUUGAACUAAAACUUUUAUGCUGCUUGCUGUAUAUAUCGAUUUUAAAAGCUGAUGUAUCUGCUUGUUUUUGCAGACAUUGCCACGUAUGCAUGUUUCUAGCGGGUAAGGUUGAAGAAACUCCUCGUCCUCUUAAAGAUGUAAUUCUAGUGUCGUAUGAGAUUACUCACAAAAAAGAUCCUGCUGCUGUGCAAAGGAUAAAGCAAAAGGUGCCGAACAUUGCUCAUCUCUCUUGUUGGCUUGAUACUAGCCUGAUUCUUUUUUCAUUCAAUUUUGCCCUUCAUGCCUUCCACAUGCUUAUGGCUUUAAAGGUAUAAUGCUUAAAUCUGCAUGGACUCACACACACACACAGAAUAUAUGACAUUACUAUAAAGGAAAUUUUGGAAUUUCUUUUAUGCAUCCGUUAUUUGAUAAUGGGUCAUCUGUACAGGAGGUGUAUGAGCAGCAAAAGGAAUUUACUCUAUUGGGAGAAAGAGUUGUUCUUGGAACACUCGGUUAUGAUCUCAACGUACACCAUCCUUAUAAGCCCCUUGUUGAGGCAAUAAAAAAAUUCAAGGUGGCUCAAAAUGCCCUAGCGCAAGUUGCAUGGAACUUUGUAAAUGAUGGGUAUGAUGCACUCACAUAGUUAUAAAUUAGCGCUUAUCCUUGGCCAUCCUACCUUUUUCACCUUUUGACCCGAGAAAGCGGCUUGCAGGCUUCGGACAUCUCUCUGCCUGCAAUUUAAGCCUCAUCACAUUGCAGCAGGUGCCUAUUUUCCUUGCUGCCUAAGUUUCUUAAAGUAAAGCUUCCACAUGAUGGUGAGUAAGGUUUGGUGGCAGGAGUUUGAUGUCACCCCACGCCAAUUAGAGGGUUGGAACCCUAUCUGCCUUUGAUUGCAUGUACAGAUUGAACUCAUAAUGCUAAAUAGUACAAGCAUCAUGCUAAUCAGUAACUAUUCCUCCUUCACUAGACUGUUUCAAAUGUGAGAAGAUGGUUUAUCUAGUUUGCAUGCUUUUUUUACCUUAUAUUUCAGGCAUAAAUGGAGAGAAAGUGGAGGGUCAAUGAUGAUUCAACUAUUGCAGUGAUUUUAUAUAUCUGCUAAUUUGUGGAUCUUAUACAAUGUUUCCCUUUUAAUAGGUAUUUUUUCCUUGUCAGAGGUUAGCAACCAGAUGCUGGAGUUGUAUGAACAAAACAGAGUGCCACCAUCACAGGCUAGUGAAGCAGAGGGUAGUGCUGGAGACAGUCAACGACUUCCAUCUAAAGCUCUAGCAAACGAAGGACAUGAUACUGGUUAUAAUUCCUUCCAUGGCGGAGCUACUUCAAAGAUGUCCUUGAAGCCAGCACCAUCAAGGCCAGGCUCGGAUGGACACCAUAAUCGAAGUGGACCUCCUGGGGUUAAUCAAAGUGAGGAAUAAUGAAUAUGGAAGUUCUGAAAAUAAUAGUAUUUCAGAUCAUCGGGGAGAAGAUGAGAUUCAUGAUCGAGAGGUCAUGCCUCAACUAAGGGAACUCAGCGGAGACUCAAAAUAAAUCAAAACUUGGGCAUGGAGAUGAAGAUCAUGAAAGGGAUGCAGUUGAACCAAAGGAUAAAUAUCAUGUAAAAAAUGUGUCUAACAAGGAUGAUUCAGCUGGUCAGUUACCUCAAGAUUCUACUAAAAAGCUGGACAAGGAGAAGAUUAAAGCUGCCUUGUUCGAGAGAAGGAAAGUUCGGGGAGAUAUAAUUCGUAAAAUAGAUCCCGUGGACGAGCUUGAGAGGGAACUGGAAGAUGUGGAAGUCCCAGGCGACAGCGAUAAGACUAAACGCGAAAGAAAGCAAAGCUGGCCCAAGCCUUCAAGGCCAGAGCUUGAG